CCUACGGGAGGCAGCAGUGGGGAAUUUUGGACAAUGGGCGAAAGCCUGAUCCAGCAAUGCCGCGUGUGUGAAGAAGGCCUUCGGGUUGUAAAGCACUUUUGUCCGGAAAGAAAUCCUUGGCUCUAAUACAGUCGGGGGAUGACGGUACCGGAAGAAUAAGCACCGGCUAACUACGUGCCAGCAGCCGCGGUAAUACGUAGGGUGCGAGCGUUAAUCGGAAUUACUGGGCGUAAAGCGUGCGCAGGCGGUUUGCUAAGACCGAUGUGAAAUCCCCGGGCUCAACCUGGGAACUGCAUUGGUGACUGGCAGGCUAGAGUAUGGCAGAGGGGGGUAGAAUUCCACGUGUAGCAGUGAAAUGCGUAGAGAUGUGGAGGAAUACCGAUGGCGAAGGCAGCCCCCUGGGCCAAUACUGACGCUCAUGCACGAAAGCGUGGGGAGCAAACAGGAUUAGAUACCCUGGUAGUCCACGCCCUAAACGAUGUCANCUAGUUGUUGGGGAUUCAUUUCCUUAGUAACGUAGCUAACGCGUGAAGNUGACCGCCUGGGGAGUACGGUCGCAAGA
rnacentral:rRNA from 1 species